rnacentral:rRNA from 1 species
UGACCUCAGAUCAGGCAAGACUACCCGCUG